rnacentral:rRNA from 1 species
AACGAACGCUGGCGGCAGGCCUAACACAUGCAAGUCGAGCGAACCCUUCGGGGUUAGCGGCGGACGGGUUAGUAACGCGUGGGAAUAUACCCAAAGGUACGGAAUAGCCUCGGGAAACUGAGAGUAAUACCGUAUGUGCCCCUCGGGGGAAGAUUUAUCGCCUUUGGAUUAGCCCGCGUUGGAUUAGGUAGUUGGUGGGGUAAUGGCCUACCAAGCCGACGAUCCAUAGCUGGUUUGAGAGGAUGAUCAGCAACACUGGGACUGAGACACGGCCCAGACUCCUACGGGAGGCAGCAGUGGGGAAUCUUAGACAAUGGGGGAAACCCUGAUCUAGCCAUGCCGCGUGGACGAUGAAGGCCUUAGGGUUGUAAAGUCCUUUCAGCUGGGAAGAUAAUGACGGUACCAGCAGAAGAAGCCCCGGCUAACUCCGUGCCAGCAGCCGCAGUAACAC